CCCAAGCCUGGAUAACAUUCAGCAGAACUGUACCAGUUCAGUGCAGGAAGAGUUGAAACCGCCCGCGACCAUUCAAAUACCCUGUGUACAGAAAUAUCUUACAUUGAGGAAAAGAUGCCGACUCUGUGCUCUGCAUACCAGGGCGAAGCUUGUUUGAGGUUUAAUGAAUGAGGCAGCGUUGAUGGUGGAGCAGAUUUCAUCGAGACCCAGACAGCAACAGUGCAGACAGAGAGUUUCUCUAUCCUUAGUGGCCAUUGUAAUAAAGCAUCAAGCUUAAUGCUUUUGGCUGCAUGCCAGACAAUUGUGG